CCCCCGGUACCUGCAGCUCCUUGAUCCAGGAGCAGUGCCAGUAGGACAGCCCCACCCAUUUGACGAAGAACUCUCGCUCCGAGCGGCCCUGCAGCACUUUGGGGGGGCCCUCGGGGGGGCCCUCGGGGGGAGGCACGGCCACGGGCGGGGGCGGCUCCCCCCACCGCCAGUACAGGAUCUUCUGCACGCGUCCCUUCAGCACCGGGCACUGCGAGGACGGCGGCGUUGGGGGACGCGGGGACACCCCCGCGUGGGGACAGCCCCCGCCCGGCCCCAUCCCACGUCCCUGUCCCCAGCUCCCGUCCUGUCCCGUUCCCCACGCACUGUCCACCCCUUCCUUGUGUCUGUCCCAUCCAUGUCCCCAUCCCUGUCUCUAGCCAUGUCCCAUCCCAUCCCAUCCCAUGUCCCCCAUUCCCAUCCUGUCCCAUGCCAUCCACGUCCCUGUCCCCAUCCCUGUCCCUGUCCCCAGCUCCCGUCCUGUCCCUUUCCCCAUUCAGCGUCCAUCCCUUCCCUGUGUCUGUCCCAUCCAUGUCCCCAUCCCUGUCUCUAUCCAUGUCCCAUCCCAUCCCAUCCCAUGUCCCCCAUUCCCAUCCUGUCCCACCCCAUCCAUGUCCCUGUCCCUGUCCCCCCCAUCCCCAUCCCUGUCCCAUCCCAUCCCUGUCCCUGUCCCCAGCUCCCCUCCUGUCCCUUUCCCCACGCUGUGCCCACCCCUUCCCUGUGUCUGUCCCAUCCAUGUCCCCAUCCCUGUCUCUAGCCAUGUCCCCCUCCCUGUCCCCCAUUCCCAUCCCUGUCCCAUCCCACCCAUGUCCCUGUCCCCAUCCCUGUCCCCCAUCCCCAUCCCAUGCCAUCCACGUCCCUGUCCCCAUCCCUGUCCCUGUCCCCAGCUCCCAUCCUGUCCCUUUCCUCACGCAGUGUCCCAUCCCUUCCCCAUGUCUGUUCCAUCCAUGUCCCCAUCCCUGUCCCAUCCCAUCCCCAUCUCUAUCCCUGUCCCAUCCCAUCCAUGUCCCUGUCCCCAUCUCCAUCCUGUCCUAUUCCAUCCACAUCCUUGCUCUCUGUUCCCAUCCACAUCCCCAUCCCAUCCAUGUCCCUGUCCCCAUCCCUCUCCUGUCCUAUUCCAUCCACAUCCUCGCUCCAUCUCUGUCCCCAUCCCUUUACUGUCCCAUCCCGUCCAUGUCCCUGUCCCCGUGCUGUCCCAUCCCUGUCCCACCUCAUCCACGUCCCCAACCCAACCUGUCCCCUCCCUUCCACGUCCCUGUCCCUAUCCUGUCUCACUCCAUCCAUGUCCCCAUACCAUCCUUGUCCCCAUCCCAUCCAUGUCCCUGUCCCCAUCUCUCUCCUGUCCUAUUCCAUCCACAUCCUCACUCGAUCUCUGUCCCCAUCCCUUUAUUGUCCCAUCCCUUUAUUGUCCCAUCCCUUUAUUGUCCCUGUCCCCGUGCUGUCCCAUUCCUGUCCCACCUCAUCCACAUCCCCAACCCAACCUGUCCUCUCCCAUCCAUGUCCCUGUCCCCAUUGCUG
rnacentral:lncRNA from 1 species